ACUCAAAUGGCCAGCCUACGAAAACCCCUACCCCCUCACCCAUUGCUUCACCAACUAUCUCUCCUCUGGGAUGUAAACGUCGCCACAUCUCAGAGCACUCGGCCCUUGAUCAAACCAAACAUAGGAAACAGCUGAUACAAGACAACGGAAAGAACACUUUGAUGAGUGACAGACAGAAGCUGGACCAGAUUGUUCAGAACGUGUACAGCUCGCGGCUUCAGCCCGCACUCGCAGAGGCGCCACCCAACCACAUGUCCGCACUCGCGCUCUGCUACACGCCCGCUGCUCACGGGGGCGGAGAGGCACAGUGGUGGGAGCGCAUGCGACGUGUGAGACCCAUCGAGAGUGCGGUUUGCGGCGUGUGCGGUAAGCGACUUAGCAACCGGUACAACCUGCGCGUGCACCUGGAGACGCAUGUCCCGAGCCCUCACGCCUGCCGCGCAUGCGCGCACGUUUCGCGCUCGCGGGACUCACUGCGCAAACACGUGGCCUACGCGCACCCGUCACGCUGACGUGACACGUGUACCUCGUAUGUUGGCUAUAACACACCUCAAACGGUCUCGCAAUCACUGAUAAGAUUAGCGUUAAGUUAUUAAAGUAAGAACAAUUUAUAUAUGCAAAACGGCACGGUGAUUAAAAUGUAAUACUGUAUUUUGUUACUAUAACAUAUUCAUUAAAAGAAAUCUAUUUA